GACUGGGGUGGUCGCCUCCAAAAGUGUAACGGAGGCUUCUAAAGGUGCCCUCAGGACGAUCGGUAACCGUCCGCAGAGUGUAAUGGCAUAAGGGCGCUUGACUGGGAGGCAGACAUGCCGAGCAGGCAGGAAACUGGGGCAUAGUGAUCCGGCGGAUGUGUAUGGAAACUCCGUCGCUCAAAGGAUAAAAGGUACUCUGGGAUAACAGGCUGAUCUCCCCCAAGAG
rnacentral:rRNA from 1 species